rnacentral:lncRNA from 1 species
GAUUCUCCUGCCUCAGCCUCCUGAGUAGCUGGGAUUACAGGUAUCCGCCAUCACGCCUGGCUAAUUUUUUAUAUCUUUUUAGUAGAGAUGGGUUUUCACUAUGUUGGCCAGGCUGGUCUUGAACUCCUGACCUCAUGAUCCACCCACCUCGGCCUCCCAAAGUGCUGGGAUUACAGGCGUGAGCCACCGCAACGUAUAAUUUAUUAAUCUUGGUUCAUAAUCAUUCCCAUGAGUUCAAAAGACAGAACUACAGGACAGUCCUGAAUAAUUUAUGACUACAUGAAAACAUUUAUUUACAUGCCCUUUACAAAAUGUAUUUACAAAACACAUAGCAACUAUUAGGGUACACAGACCUUGUUUCUAUCUUCCCCAUGCUUCUUCUCUAUAGGAAAUACAAUAUGAAAUUAUAAAGAUACCGUACUCAGAAUGAGAACUUCAUCUAUCAUCAAUGUACACAUAAAUAUCAGUGAAUCGUCAUACUCAAGACUCAGAUUAAAGAACUUCUUCAUCAGGGCAGCAGUAAUAUUCCACAAAAUAUAUUGGUCCAUCUUCAUUUCUAAUCAUAUACUGUAAUGAAAGGAAGCCUCGGUUAUCUGUCCGAGUAGAUACGUGACAAGACAGGACUAAUGCCUUUGUAGAGGGUUUCAGUAAGGAAAUCUUGCAUCUGUUGACCUGGGUCUGAUUAUAAUGCUUCCAUCAAAUCAGAAUCUUUGGGGCGGUCAAGGUGGGAACUUCCUACAUUUCCAAAAGUAGAUAACCUGAAAUAAGGCUUGUCAGGAGACAUGGUAAUUUGUAGGACCUCACUCGUCAUAUCCAAUUCAGAAAAAGCUUCACAGAGCCCUUCUGACUGCAGAAUUUUAUCAAUAACAUUAGUGCUGUAGAAAUUAAAGUCCAGGUCCCUUCAGGUUCCUGUGUAUUGAUUUUGCAGACUGCCACCACUCCUUCUUCUUCCAGGAACAGCAUCAAAGGGUAACCAUAACCUUGGUAACACAUCCGAAGUGCAGUUCAAGUCCCUGGCAUAGGACUUGAUCCAAAAAUAGAUAAACAGUCUAAAAGGACAAUGAAAUUAAUUCAAAAAGUAACAGACUCUUCCUGAACUUUAAGCUCUUGAAAUAUUCCAGCCUGAAUAAAAGCAUUUGCUUGCACACACUUUGCAUUUUCCAUUGUUACUUUGAUUCCAUUUUUAGUUGCGAAACACACAGCACAUUUUCGGAAAUGAAUAGCUUUUAAGAUAGUGGAGAGAUUCCUAACAUUGUCAAGGCUGGCCACAAGACUGUAUUGAUCAUGCUCGUCUUGGAUCUGUUGGGUCAGGAGGGGCAUCGCCCACUGCACAUUCGGCCCCAAGGGAUGCUCCUGGGGCCUGUUCCUGCAGAUCGCGAAACACCUUUGCAGGGGGAUCUGGAUGCUGGAGAGCCUCUCCCAGCAAAUUCCCUGAGGCGGAGCAAGGCAGCUCCAGGAAACUGCAGAGGAAGUGAAGCAGCCCC